AACGCAGCGAAGGGCGAUAAGUAAUGUGAAUUGCAGAAUUCAGUGAAUCAUCGAAUCUUUGGACGCACAUUGCGCCCCCUGGUAUUCCGGGGGGCAUGCCUGUUCGAGCGUCAUUUCACCACUCAAGCCUCGCUUGGUAUUGGGCAACGCGGUCCGCCGCGUGCCUCAAAUCGACCGGCUGGGUCUUCUGUCCCCUAAGCGUUGUGGAAACUAUUCGCUAAAGGGUGUUCGGGAGGCUACGCCGUAAAACAACCCCAUUUCUAAGGUUGACCUCGGAUCAGGUAGGGAUACCCGCCGAACUUAA
rnacentral:rRNA from 1 species